CGCUGUGCUCGUUGAUGAAAGUCAAAGUGGCGUUACGUGAGCUCAGUGUAGCCUACAUUCAGUGGCGCCUGUUAGUUUUCCCCUUGUGUAUUUACAAUGUCACAUAUCAAAGCAUUACAAUCAAACGGAUUAAAAUACAAAGAACAAAAAUACCCCUAUAAAUCUACACAGCGAUUCAUGGUAGGCCAGUUAAUGACUUAAAAGUCAUUGCCAUGUCACAUAAUGGCGGCAAUUAGUAGCGCUCGCUCGCUCAGCUGUUUACGUCGCCUGAAGACUAAUCUCAAGAAUGACUGACAAAAGACUGAAUGGAGACGCGGAGGCUGUUUUGAAAGAGUUUGACACCACAUGCAGUCGCAAAAUGAGCUUCAAAUAGGAGCACCUAGCUGCUAACAGCAGUGAUGAUUAUGAUAAUGGUCCUUGCUAUUUAGGAAGAGUGAUUGAACAAUGUUUACCAAGACAAACCCUCUGCAUGUUAAAGGGAACCCGCUGUGACUUUUAAGGAGCUCCUGUUCGGUCAACAGAAUCUGUUCAGAUGAAGAAACAAACUACAUCUACAUCUUAGAUAGCCUGAGGUCCACAGCCCAGACUUUCAGCCAGAAUGAAUGAUGGGAAUCACAGCAGAACUGGACCGCCGCUGAGACGUAUCUCAGCAAGUCUCGUCUGAGCCUGAUGACCCUCCUGUGACAUCAAAGUCAAUUAAGGCAUCUGUUUCAUUUUCAAAACCUGGUGUAUUUGGAUGCUGCAGUCUUGUGAGUGUGCGUUUGUGUUCUGUUGUUCAGAGAGAAUAUGUCAGCAACAGGAGGCUGUUCCUGGCCUUAGUCCAGAGAUGUUCAUGACUACCAGACUGAGGAAGACACCGUUUGUCAAAGGAUCUCAGGGGACAGUCCACUGGUCAAGCAGAACUUUAGCAAAAACACUCUUGCAUUUUACGACUCGAAAAUAAACUAAAAUAAACAUUCAUUCCAGUCAUAGUUACACACAAUAUGGUGUCAAGCUAUAUAGAUGUGUUUGUAUUUGAACAUAAUGGUUAAAGGAACAUUUUAUAACAUAUGGAUAUUGAAACAUGUAUUGAGAGAAUAUUAAAUGUUAAUUGUAUUUACACAUUCACAGCUUUAAUGUAAAAAUCUUUAAGAAUACUUUAUAUUAUAAAUGUAUUUGUAUAGUUACAUUUUACUUGUGAUGAAAUCUUUGAAAUGUGUUGAAUAUGGCAACAGAAAUAAUACUAAACAGGAC
ensembl:lncRNA